GGAUGAACGCUGGCGGCGUGCCUAAUACAUGCAAGUCGAACGCAUAGCGAAAGGUGCUUGCCCCUUUCAAGUGAGUGGCGAACGGGUGAGUAACACGUGGACAACCUGCCUCAAGGCUGGGGAUAACAUUUGGAAACAGAUGCUAAUACCGAAUAAAACUUAGUGUCGCAUGACACAAAGUUAAAAGGCGCUUCGGCGUCACCUAGAGAUGGAUCCGCGGUGCAUUAGUUAGUUGGUGGGGUAAAGGCCUACCAAGACAAUGAUGCAUAGCCGAGUUGAGAGACUGAUCGGCCACAUUGGGACUGAGACACGGCCCAAACUCCUACGGGAGGCUGCAGUAGGGAAUCUUCCACAAUGGGCGAAAGCCUGAUGGAGCAACGCCGCGUGUGUGAUGAAGGCGUUCGGGUCGUAAAGCACUGUUGUAUGGGAAGAACAGCUAGAAUAGGAAAUGAUUUUAGUUUGACGGUACCAUACCAGAAAGGGACGGCUAAAUACGUG
rnacentral:rRNA from 1 species